CAGAGACUGAACCACAAACCAGGGUGCUUGCAUUGAACUAACCUGGGCCUUCUGCACAUAUGUUAUAGUUGUGUAACUUGAUCUUUUUGUGGGACUCUAACAGUGGGAGCAGGAGCUAUCUCUGACUCUGUUACCUGCUUUGAGAUUCUUUUUUUCCCCCUACUGAGUUGCCUUGUUCAUCCUUAAUAGGAGAGAAAGUCCCUAGUGUUACUGCAAUUUGAUAUGCCAUGGUUGAUUGAUAUACAAGGGAGGCCUGUUCUGUUGUGAAAGUGGUAGAAGUAGAUUGGGGGAUAAGAGUGGAGCUUUGGGGGGAGACUAAGAGGCGAGGAGGGAGAGAGGGGAAAAUGUGACUGGGCUGAGAAAAUUAAUUAAUUAAUUAAAAGUAAAUAAAUAAAACCACAUGGCUUACAAUUCCCUUUGGUUCCUUCCAGUUCCUGUGGAUCUGAUGCCCUCUUCUGGCCUCUGGGGGACCAGGAAUACACAUGGUACACAUACAUAUAUGAAAGCUAAAAACUCAUACACAUGAAAUAAAAAUAAAUAAAUCUGUAAAAAAACAGCCCAACUGUUCACUUGAAUUCCUUCUGAGCUUUGAGAUUGUUCUACUUGGGAGAGUUAAAAUCUGAGAUUGUACUAUAAUUCUGUACGUGAGAAGCCGACUGAUUUCAGAUAUCAUUCUUGAGGUAUGACUUUUUAUUAACUAUUUCAAAUCUCAUUGAAAAAAAUCUGCUGAAAGUAGCAGGACUCUUAGAGCUCUUAUUAACUUUACAUCUGCAAUUGCUUCGAUGAAUAUAUAUUUUAAGCUCUGUGAGUUUAAAAUAAGGCUUCAUUUAUUAAUAUGCAUGUAAAGUCUAUAUCCAUGGUAUCAUUGCCAGUACCAAGUAUGACAGAAAUUCAAAUGUGUAAGAGGAAAAUUAAUGUUGGCCCAUUUUUAUUUUCUUCUAGAUAUAUUUAUAUUUCUCCUACAGGUAUUAAACAAUUGACCACUUGCAGAAGUAAAGAUGAAGAUAAUUAUCAUUCUGUAUAACAAGGGCAUAGUUGUAUUAUCAUGGACCAUGACAGACCUUAAAAUAAUAUUGAAACUGAUACUUUUUCAAUCAAGAAGAGUUCCUCCUUUAUGCUGGCACAUUUUGAAGCUCCUACUUCUCCUUUCUGCUGAGAACACUGUGCCUCACAGUACUCUAUCAUACUGAAGAAAGUUCAGAAGGCUGUGGUGAAUGCUGAGUUCACUAUAUUCUUUAUUUUCACUUCGCAGUUGUGGCAUUGUAGUGCUUGCUGCAUGCACUGAAAGGUAACCUUAAAUAUUUUGUUUCCUUUUCUUAGCUGUAUAUGAUGAUGAGUUAAGUCACUCUGAUCAUUUUUGUUUUGAACCAUUGGAAGAAAUAAAUUGUACUUACAUAUUUAGAGAGUACUGAAA
rnacentral:lncRNA from 1 species